CGGUUCCAGACCCGUGCAGCGUGGGGGAUGGACGCUGCAGGCCUCACCCUGAAGCUGCUUCUGGUCGGAGACAGCGCCGUGGGGAAGUCCAGCCUCCUGCUGAGGUUCACUGAUGGUGCGUUUGAGCCGUGCCUGAAACCCACCAUCGGUGUUGAUUUUAAAGUGAAGAAAAUGGUGGUAGACGGCCAUGCAGUACAGCUUGCAAUAUGGGACACAGCAGGACAGGAGCGCUUUAGAACACUGACUCCCAGUUAUUACCGAGGAGCUCAAGGGGUUGUUUUAGUGUAUGAUGUUACAAGAAAAGACACUUUCGCAGGACUAGAGAGCUGGCUGAAUGAGCUGGAAAUGUAUACCACCAAAAGCAACACUGUGAAGAUGUUAGUUGGCAAUAAAACUGAUAAGCCUGAUCGUGAAGUAGACAGAAGAGAAGGACUCCAGUUUGCUAGGAAACGCUCGCUGCUUUUUAUAGGUAUAACUGCAAACAGAGCACGGACACAAGAAAAUAAGACUAGGAAGUCAAGUUCAGAAGAUGGGAGGCCAUGGCAACUGUAACAAAGCCAUAAAACCAGGUGGGAAGGCUAGGAAGGAAACAAUCAUGAGAAGGAGGAUCAAAAGCGGAUUGGCCAGAUUGAAAGAGAUAAUAAGAAGUUCUUGGAAGGGCUAGCUGAGAUACAACAAAGGACAGGGAGGGUGGACUGUUGGAAUGAACCCUUUCAGAGGAGCUCAAAUAGAGGCAAGCAGAACAGGAAAAUAAUGAACGUCACUUGUGGAAAACCAAGGUAUUUUGAAGAGGCUUGUUGACUGUAAGCCUACCUACAAUCAAAAGAAUUGAGACUGGUUGUCAGGGAUGUACUUUAAUUUUUGUUUUGUAUAAAUAUUAUUUUAUUAUAACUUCAAACUAAAUAGUGUUGGGAUGCUUUUAAAAUUAUAGCUAUUUAGUUAACUGUAUAUUGAACUAGAAAAAACUAUACCUUAAAAAAAAUCUGAAAGUAAUAAACUGUUAGGUAAUUAGAAAAGGGAGCAAGGGAAGCAUUUUCUAGAACAAAAUUAAGUUAGAAAUUUGAGUUGAAGGGCUGCCUAUAUGAAAAAAAGCAUGUGUUGUCUUAGUAAUAAUGGCUGCUUUGCUGGAGUUGUGUUUUGUUGCUAUUUUAUUCUGAUAUUCUCAAUAAAUAUUACCAGUAUUUUAGUAUAAAGAAAAUGUGCCAGUAAUUACAUU